rnacentral:rRNA from 1 species
AACGAACGCUGGCGGCAGGCCUAACACAUGCAAGUCGAGCGAUGACUUCGGUUCUAGCGUCGGGCGGGUGAGUAACGCGUGGGAAUGUGCCCUUCUCUACUGAAUAGCACUGGGAAACUGGGAGUAAUACCGUAUACGCUCUUUUGGGGAAAGAUUUAUCGGAGAAGGAUCAGCCCGCGUUGGAUUAGGUAGUUGGUGGGGUAAUGGCCUACCAAGCCGACGAUCCAUAGCUGGUUUGAGAGGAUGAUCAGCCACACUGGGACUGAGACACGGCCCAGACUCCUACGGGAGGCAGCAGUGGGGAAUCUUAGACAAUGGGGGCAACCCUGAUCCAGCCAUGCCGCGUGAGUGAUGAAGGCCUUAGGGUUGUAAAGCUCUUUCAGCUGGGAAGAUAAUGACGGUACCAGCAGAAGAAGCCCCGGCUAACUCCGUG